rnacentral:rRNA from 1 species
UACGGAGGGUGCAAGCGUUAUCCGGAUUCACUGGGUUUAAAGGGUGCGUAGGCGGGUUGGUAAGUCCGUGGUGAAAUCCCCAAGCUUAACUUGGGAACUGCCGUGGAUACUAUCAAUCUUGAAUAUCGUGGAGGUAAGCGGAAUAUGUCAUGUAGCGGUGAAAUGCUUAGAUAUGACAUAGAACACCGAUUGCGUAGGCAGCUUACUACACGAUCUUUGACGCUGAGGCACGAAAGCGUGGGGAGCAAACAGG